CACGUAGGGACCAAGCGUUGUCCGGAUUCAUUGGGCGUAAAGAGCUCGUAGGCGGUUUGUCGCGUCUGCUGUGAAAACCGGAGGCUCAACCUCCGGCCUGCAGUGGGUACGGGCAAACUAGAGUGCGGUAGGGGAGAUUGGAAUUCCUGGUGUAGCGGUGGAAUGCGCAGAUAUCAGGAGGAACACCGGUGGCGAAGGCGGGUCUCUGGGCCGAUACUGACGCUGAGGAGCGAAAGCGUGGGGAGCGAACAGG
rnacentral:rRNA from 1 species